UCUCUGAAAGAAACUGACAGGGACCCAGAGGUGGUCUCUGUGGGUGGGUGGGGCGCUUUGGUGGGACGUGGAGAGGAGGGGAAGGGGCGUGGAGCCGGUCAGCACCUCCUCCGCCCAGCUCACUGAACAAUAAGCACAUGAUUUAAUACAGUCAGUAAAUCCUUUUCCGCCUCGGCUUCUCAGCUACCGCACGACAGGCUCGUAAUUCAGUUUUAAACAAGUCCGGGAUUAGGGCUGCAGCUGCGGGGUGCAGGGGUGUCCGUGUGUGUAGGCGGCGUGUCUGGCCCGGGGGUGACCACACCGCCUCCCGUGCAGGGGCAGAGGCUGGGGGCGGGCUGGGGUCCCUGGCACCGGGAAGGAAGGAGGCCUGGCAGCUCUCUCAAGCGGAGAGCUUGUGGCCUCGGGGAGGGGAGCUGUUGUGACCACAGAAUCUCCGGGCCGGAAGGGACCCUAGGCUUCAUCACACGGGGAAGCCCUGGCAACUUUGGAAAGGGGAGGAGAGAGGAAGCCCUCACUUUGGUCUCAGUUUUCACAUAUUGAAUUUAUUUGGAGCAGGGCCUGCUCCGAAAUUCCCACGGGGCCUUUUCUUCUGUUUCAGGUUUUUCAGAACCUGAGGGUUGGGAAACAGGGAUGAAAAGGGAGCCUGAUACCCCAGCUCAAGGAUGAGGGCGAGAGGAGGUGGGAGCUGCAGGAACAGUCUUCAAACCCAGGACAGGCAGCCCGUGGAGCUGGGGUUGGUGCGGGGCCACCCCCGAGGGAAGGGUUAGUACCGAUGGGAGGACAGCUAAGACGAGGCGACCUCGAGCCCCCAGCUUUGUAGCAGAGAAACAGCUGCCCUGGGAAGCAAGGAAGGGAGCCCCCCAUCCGGAAGGAGAGCUAGCAAGAUCACUGCUGUUGGAACAGAGGACGCAGGAGAGAAAAUGGAAGUCCUAGAGAAGAUCUACUGCCUCUCCUGAAAAUACAAGUUCAAAUCUGAGCACAGAAGCAAGGCAGAAGGACGUCUCCAGAGCAACUACUCUGAGGAAUGGUGACAACAUUGGCCUGGAGCCCCGAGUGUUAGCUUCAGCUGAGAAACCGGCCCCACCAGUCCCUGGGCCCAGCACUGUGGGCCCAGCUGCUCCUGCAAAGUCAACAGUGUCCAGAAACAAUGAAGGAGGAGGGGACAGCAGGGGGAGGCCCACAGCUGAUAUGCUCCCCGGCAGGCAUGUGACCCUCAGGGAUGACUGUCAGAGUAUCUCUGAACUUGGCCAUGCAACUUGCUUUGGCCAAUGGGACAUUAGGAAGCAAGAUAUAAGCAGAAACUUGGUAAGCUCUUGCAUGGUGGGGCUUGUCCUCCUGGAAUGCUCACUUUGGGGACAUUCCUUCUCCAAACUCAACU